rnacentral:rRNA from 1 species
UACGAAGGGGGCGAGCGUUGUUCGGAAUUACUGGGCGUAAAGGGCGCGCAGGCGGCCCUUUAAGUCAGAUGUGAAAGCCCCGGGCUCAACCUGGGAACUGCAUUUGAGACUGGAGGACUUGAGGACGGGAGAGGAGAGUGGAAUUCCCAGUGUAGAGGUGAAAUGCGUAGAUAUUGGGAGGAACACCGGUGGCGAAGGCGGCCCCCUGGACCGGUACUGACGCUGAGGCGCGAAAGCGUGGGUAGCAAACAGG